CAUAAAUGCCAUCUCAUGCGGUGACCAGGAAUAAUUUGGUUGAUAGAAUUUAAAGGCACAAAUCAAAAUUUCAUUUGACAUUGACUGUACAGCUACUUUAUAUUGACUUGAUUCUUAUAAUUGGUCUUUUCAUGGAAAUAUUUUCAUUUUAUAGCAACAGAUCAACUUGAGAAGUGUCAAGCACCAAGACUAACUGCAAAUGAAGCAAAUCAAUCAGAUAAAAAUGAAUAUAAUCAUAAUUUUAACUUCAGUUACUCAUGUAGGGGAAAGUUGGAGCAGAAACAUUCAAUCUGUGUCAAUGGACAAUGGGACCCUGAACCAACCUGCACAAGUACGUUCUUGUGUACAAUGUUUUCUAAAAUUCAUUAUAUUUUUCCUCACUUAUAGAAGUAGUAUUUUGUGUUUUUUAAAAAUUUAGCUAUGUGUUGAUAUAAUUUCUUUUGAAGUUGGAAGGUAAUUUUUGUCUCUAUCUGCCUUGAAAAUUCUGGGUUGUACUGACACUUGCAAUUCCAAUUGAAUAGCAAAG
rnacentral:lncRNA from 1 species